CUUUAAAGGCUCUGGGGCUCCCCAAGAUGCCGUUUCCUUGUCUAAUAUGUCCCCAAAAUUCCACCUACUCUUAACUGCUCACAUGGGGAAGAAGCGUCCUUAGCAUCUAACAGGCUGAGCAAUUCUUUCACUGUUCAUGCUUUUCUGAGAGGCAAAAGGGUGGUUUUUCUUUUUCGCAACGCCUCACUUCAGAGCCACUAGAUGGCACUCACUCCCCACUUCCGUUCCUAGCUUUCUUCAAAGUGGACUCUCCAGAGCCUGGAGGCUAGGACUUUCUGUGUAGAAAGUAGAUGAGGGAGGAGUCCUAAUUCAUGAGAUGCCCCAUAGGCUUCAGUGCACGGAAAUCUGAGAAAACGGAAAGAAACCUGUCUCUCACAACAGCACUAAUCAGUUUGAGCACUGUUCAGGCCUUCUAGUUGCAUAGCAAAUGACAUUUCAUAAAUAUUCAUUAGUUCGAGGAAUUUAGGAGAAAAGCAGGAACUACUAACAGUAUGUGGUAUUGAGUGUAAUUUAUGCCCGAGCCUCUCUGGAAUGCAAAAAAGGAGACCCUUAUUCCACAAGAUCUGUUAGUUUGCUCAUUACCACUGGUGAAGGGGACACCUGCUGGAUUGCCCCUCCUUGUCACAGAAUUCAAACUACACAGACCAGAAAGCAACAGACCAGCGGGCCUGCUUUCUGCUGAUGUGGGCCGAAGGCCUGCCCCCAGAGCAGUGCGGACAGUAGUUGUUAUUGUUUUUCUAGAUGAGUUUCAAGGGCUACCUAAGGGUUUGCAUAGCCCUUCCUCAUGUUUUCCCACAGGAACCUACCUCCACGCAGAGCUGGGAGAGAGGGGAACAAAGAAGUAGUGGCACCACGCUCUAAAAACCAGUCCAGCCAGCACACGGCCAGAACAUUCGGAAUCAGGGGUUCUCUCCAUGGCACCAGAGAGUCUUCAGUUCUACAUGGAAGCCGUCACUAGCCAGCCUAGAACUAACUCUAAGAGGCUGGUGACAGAUGCGUCUCUGUGCAAAAGAUUUCAAGAGCUAGGCACUGGGAUCAAACCAAAGGCCUUGAACAUGCUAGACAGAGAGCAUGGCUGUCAAACAGAAGAAAGAAUUGCUGCAUGGAAGACAGCCGACGGAAGGCAGGUGUAAAACAGACCUGUUAGCAGACUUCUGCAGUGAGCCAGGUGAUAUGGCUUGCUGGUGGAUAUAAAAGGUGGACGUGAGAGACAGUAAGCAUCCACGCCAAUAAAUGGAAUGUAUGACUAGGCACACAGAAGAACCACCACCAAGAAGACAAAGAGCCAGCGUGAAGAGGGAGCAUUAAGGCUCUGGGUUGUAACAAGUGAAAUUUGAGACUCCCGUAGGAUGUCAAGAGCAGAUGUCACACAGGAAGGCAGAGAUGCACUCUGUUGGGAAUACUGGACAAAUAGAGGCUAUUUGAACAGUUAUUGGCUUUUGAUAUGUUUUCGUCUCUUUUUAAUGUCAGGAUGGCCUUGUACUUGUUUUAUUUGGCUCUUCUCUUUAUUGUAUUUGGGCUGUGGCACUGGUUACCAUUUUCAGUCUCCUAUUUUAAUCAUUCAAAUUGUGCCUUAUUUUGUAA